GAUGAACGCUGGCGGCGUGCCUAAUACAUGCAAGUCGAGCGAACGGACGAGAAGCUUGCUUCUCUGAUGUUAGCGGCGGACGGGUGAGUAACACGUGGAUAACCUACCUAUAAGACUGGGAUAACUUCGGGAAACCGGAGCUAAUACCGGAUAAUAUUUUGAACCGCAUGGUUCAAAAGUGAAAGACGGUCUUGCUGUCACUUAUAGAUGGAUCCGCGCUGCAUUAGCUAGUUGGUAAGGUAACGGCUUACCAAGGCAACGAUGCAUAGCCGACCUGAGAGGGUAAUCAGCCACACUGGAACUGAGACUCGGUCCAGACUCCUACGAGAGGCAACAGUAGGGAAUCGUCCGCAAUGGGCGAAAGCCUGACGGAGCAACGCCGCGGGAGUGAGGAAGGUCUUCGGAUCGUAAAGCUCUGUUAUUAGGGAAGAACAUAUGUGUAAGUAACUGUGCACAUCUUGACGGUACCUAAUCAGAAAGCCACGGCUAACUACGUG
rnacentral:rRNA from 1 species